UUGAUUGGUACCAACCAUUUUGGUGUUAUUAUGUUUUCUGUUGCAAAAUAAAGACAUAAUUAUAUGUGGUUACUUGACACACAUGUCUUCUAUAGUUUCUUGUGAACUUUGUGCUGCCAACAUGAGAUAGGAUUUACUUGCUGUGAAAUUCAUUGAUGGUGCUUUACGCAUCUUUCAUAGGCACUAUGCAAUAAUAGUUCUCCCCAGUGCAUGGAGGACUAAAAUGCCAAUAAUGUGUUUCGUUUCCUUGAGUAACCAAUAGAACAACAUAUGUGUCGUCUUCUCGCAAAUGUUUCUUUUUUUUGGCAAGGCUUGUUUUAGUUUUGAAGUAACUAAAAUAGAAUUAACUGAAUCAUAGUUUAAAUAUGUAGCUCUUUCAACUUGUUUCACCUUAUCAGUCCAUCGUAAUGCCUCCAUGAAACUGUAAGAUUUUAUAGUCAGUAAACAAUUCCUUGGAGCGAAAGGGUAAACAAGAAUAUAACUUGCAAACGAAAUGACCGCCUACAUUAGUAAAAUUUUACAAUUAGAAAAUAGCAGAUCCUUACCCACUGCUCCAUAUAAAAUGAUUGCUAUACAUAAUGCUAAAAGAGAAAAUGUAUAUUUCCACAGGCAAGAUUAGUUUCUUUGUGUGCUGGGCUCUAUUAGCUUAUUCUUGAUCUUCCUGCGACUAUUUCUUGAUACACUUGCUGCCGAGGCGCAGAUACUAAAGCUUCGUACUGUUGUUGUGCCUUUCAGAUGUUUGCUGAGAUAUUUCAUCACAUUGAAACAAAAAAAAUCUCAGCUUAUGCAAUUCCAAGAAAAUAGCUUAGUGAUUGCUGCUGCAUGGCGUACAUGUAAGACUGUUAAGCUGUCUACUUGGUGCUACCCAUCACCAUCAGCCACGACAUGAUGGUUGCUAUCAGUAGGGCCGUCAGCAAGAACCUAAAUAACAACCUUGAUAGUUUGUAAGUUCUGUUGAUGUAAAAUGGAUUGUAAUAGUUCCUGACCCUGUUGUGUGAUAUAUUUUGUCAAUAUAUGUUGUAAGUUAUCAUCUCAUAGAGGAUUUUGUAAACUGCUAUGUUAUAUGUAUACAUAUAGAUGGCUGCAUA